AACGAACGCUGGCGGCAGGCCUAACACAUGCAAGUCGAACGCCCUAGCAAUAGGGAGUGGCAGACGGGUGAGUAACACGUGGGAACCUUCCCAAUAGUACGGAAUAGCCCAGGGAAACUUGGAGUAAUACCGUAUACGCCCGAAAGGGGAAAGAUUUAUCGCUAUUGGAUGGGCCCGCGUCGGAUUAGCUAGUUGGUGAGGUAACGGCUCACCAAGGCGACGAUCCGUAGCUGGUUUGAGAGAACGACCAGCCACACUGGGACUGAGACACGGCCCAGACUCCUACGGGAGGCAGCAGUGGGGAAUCUUGGACAAUGGGCGCAAGCCUGAUCCAGCCAUGCCGCGUGAGUGACGAAGGUCUUCGGAUUGUAAAGCUCUUUUGGCGGGGACGAUAAUGACGGUACCCGCAGAAUAAGCCCCGGCUAACUUCGUGCCAGCCGCCGCCGUAACAC
rnacentral:rRNA from 1 species